rnacentral:lncRNA from 1 species
GAUGUGAUCUCCUCAGCAUCCACUGCCCUGUCCCAGGACAUCCCUGAAAUUGCAUCUGAGGCCCUGUCCCGUGGCUUUGGCUCCUCUGUACCUGAGGGCCUCAUUGAGCCAGACAGCAUGGCCUCAGCUGCCUCAGCACUACACCUACUGUCUCCUCGGCCCAGGCAAGGCCCUGAGCUUAGUUCUCAGCUUGGUCUAGAUGGAGGCCCUGGGGAUGGGGAUAGGCAUAGUACCCCUUCCCUACUGGAAGCAGCCUUGACCCAGGAAGUUGCAACCUCUGACAGUCAAGUCUGGCCUACAGCACCUGACAUUACUCGUGAGACCUGUAGCACACUAACAGAAAGGUAAGAAGAUUAGAAGGGGGAAAUAUGCCUGGGCGGGCGGGCA